rnacentral:rRNA from 1 species
AGUGAACGCUGGCGGUAGGCCUAACACAUGCAAGUCGAACGGCAGCACAGUAAGAGCUUGCUCUUACGGGUGGCGAGUGGCGGACGGGUGAGGAAUACAUCGGAAUCUACUUUUUCGUGGGGGAUGACGUAGGGAAACUUACGCUAAUACCGCAUACGACCUACGGGUGAAAGCAGGGGAUCUUCGGACCUUGCGCGAUUGAAUGAGCCGAUGUCGGAUUAGCUAGUUGGCGGGGUAAAGGCCCACCAAGGCGACGAUCCGUAGCUGGUCUGAGAGGAUGAUCAGCCACCCUGGAACUGAGACACGGUCCAGACUCCUACGGGAGGCAGCAGUGGGGAAUAUUGGACAAUGGGCGCAAGCCUGAUCCAGCCAUACCGCGUGGGUGAAGAAGGCCUUCGGGUUGUAAAGCCCUUUUGUUGGGAAAGAAAAGCAGCAGGUUAAUACCCCGCUGUUCUGACGGUACCCAAAGAAUAAGCACCGGCUAACUUCGUG